rnacentral:rRNA from 1 species
CAGUCGCCGCGGGAAUACGAAGGGGGCUAGCGUUGCUCGGAAUUACUUGGCGUAAAGGGCGCGUAGGCGGACAGUUCAGUCGGGGGUGAAAGCCCGGGGCCCAACCUCGGAAUUGCCUUCGAUACUGGCUGUCUUGAGUAUGAGAGAGGUGUGUGGAACUCCGAGUGUAGAGGUGAAAUUCGUAGAUAUUCGGAAGAACACCAGUGGCGAAGGCGACACACUGGCUCAUUACUGACGCUGAGGCGCGAAAGCGUGGGGAGCAAACAGGAUUAGAUACCCCCGUAGUCCCUGUCUCUUAUAC